CCUGCUAGUGGAGAUGGAGUCGCCGGAGAGGACCAAAGCCAACUUGCUAGUUGUGGUAGUUUCACUUUCGCCCAGCCGCACUCCCGUAUGUGCGCCCGUGCUGCAGCGUCCUCCCAAUCCGGCAGCUCCGCUCGGCGGUUCGCCCGCUCUAGCAGCUCGACGCGGCCACGCCCCAGCGUCCUCCCAAUCCGGCAGCUCCGGCCGGCGGCGCCCCAACGUCCCUGGCUUCUACCCACUCUAGUAGCUCCUCAUCGCGGCGUCCGCGUGGCCUGCCUCUAGUAUUCCUGUUGGUGCGCGUGCGCCUCGCCCCCUGUCUUGAGGCUGUUUUUUUUGGAGUUCACUGGUUGGAAACAUGGUUUGAUUUUGGAUCUUUCUCUCUCACCUUCUGCUAUCUUCUGAGUUGAAUUUGAUUAUUAGAAACAUGGACAUCUCAAUCAGAUGCAUACAUCUUCGAUUCGAUAGUAUUUGUUUUGCCUUUGCUAGUUAGUUGACCAGAGGGGAGCCUUUGUCAGCGAGAUGUCUUGUUUGCGUAUGGAUUGUACGUCUGAGGAUGUAGGAUAUAUUUAGUUUGGGUGGGACUCUAACAAAGAGCGAAGCUUGAGCUGGAUAAAACCGUGAACGAUGUGGAGGAGCAGACGAAAGCGGAUGAGAGAGGAGAGGGCAGUAAAAAAAA